AUCCUGGCUCAGGACGAACGCUGGCGGCGUGCUUAACACAUGCAAGUCGAACGGAAAGGCCCUUCGGGGUGCUCGAGUGGCGAACGGGUGAGUAACACGUGGGUGAUCUGCCCUGCACUUUGGGAUAAGCCUGGGAAACUGGGUCUAAUACCGAAUAUGACCGCAUGCUUCAUGGUGUGUGGUGGAAAGCUUUUGCGGUGUGGGAUGGGCCCGCGGCCUAUCAGCUUGUUGGUGGGGUAAUGGCCUACCAAGGCGACGACGGGUAGCCGGCCUGAGAGGGUGACCGGCCACACUGGGACUGAGAUACGGCCCAGACUCCUACGGGAGGCAGCAGUGGGGAAUAUUGCACAAUGGGCGCAAGCCUGAUGCAGCGACGCCGCGUGGGGGAUGACGGCCUUCGGGUUGUA
rnacentral:rRNA from 1 species